UGGGGAAUAUUGCGCAAUGGACGAAAGUCUGACGCAGCAACGCCGCGUGAGGGAUGACGGCCUUCGGGUUGUAAACCUCUUUCAGCAGGGACGAAGCGAGAGUGACGGUACCUGCAGAAGAAGGACCGGCCAACUCCGUGCCAGCAGCCGCGGUAAUACGUAGGGUCCAAGCGUUGUCCGGAUUUAUUGGGCGUAAAGAGCUCGUAGGCGGCUCAGUAAGUCGGAUGUGAAAACUCGGGGCUCAACCCCGAGACGCCAUCCGAUACUGCUGUGGCUUGAGUCUGGUAGGGGAACACGGAAUUCCUGGUGUAGCGGUGAAAUGCGCAGAUAUCAGGAGGAACACCGAUGGCGAAGGCAGUGUUCUGGGCCAGUACUGACGCUGAGGAGCGAAAGCGUGGGUAGCAAA
rnacentral:rRNA from 1 species